UAGGCUAUUUGAUAAAUCCAGUUUCUGGAGUGAAGCGGUGUGAAGUCUGUUGCCCAGCUGUGCCACAGAGAUGGCGAGUGAAUCUGUUUUGGGGACUGGUCUCGCCUCUGAUUGUUGCUGUUGGUGGGGAAGUUGUUAAAAACGUUUUAAUGGGGUUUUCCACAGGCCUCCUUUCCUGUGGGUCCUGAUGAUGACAGUGCAAUCUGUGUCUCUCAGAUAAAGGGAGGGGGAAGGCUUUAGAAACCAGAACUGCGGAAGCGUUAUCUUAUCAGUCAUGUUCACUGUGGAUUUCCUACACACUGUGAGGCCCUGAAAUAUAUCCCUGGCAAGGCAACUGAGCUGAAGAGUCAAUGGGUCUCCAAAACUGCAAUAACUGUGGGUGAUAAAGGAUCGCCGUCCUGACAAAGAAGCCAAAGGUCGGGGGAAAGCCACAAGACCAGCCACUGCUGAGCCUCUUCGGCUUCUACAGCCCAGCAAACCCCAAAGUUGUUCUGGCAAUGGUAAGAGCAUCUCAGCCAGAAGCAGCUGGGCAGGGAUGCAGGGAGGAAAGGCGAAGGGGAUACUACAGGCCUUGCUGCCUCAUGGAAGUUAUGAGGUGGGUGAGGCCUUUGCUGUUUCUGUGAAGAGGCAAUUAAACACAGAGCGGGGGAAAGGCUAUGAGAGUUGUGUGCUAUUUUUCUAGUGCCCACAGAGAAUGAGAACUAGUGUGGUAUUGCAGAGAACUAUAGAUAAAGAACCCCCUUUGUCUGAGGUGGAGUGAAUACUGGCCAGAGGGGGUGAAGGCCUUGACCUGCUACCAUGUCUGUCACCCACAGGGUGAAAUCUUCCUCAGUAUCUAGUUAGGUUAUUUGGUUUAUACUUUACUUUGCCCUGGAAAAGGUGACGAAGCAUCCAUUUGAUUAGAGCAGGGGUAGGCAACCUAAGGUCUGUGGGCCGGAUGCAGACCAAUCGCCUUCUCAAUCCAGCCCACUGACAGUCUGGGAAUCAGCAUGUUUUUACAUGAAUAGAAUGUGCUCUUUUAUUUAAAAUGCAUCUCUGGGUUAUUUGUGGGGCCUGCCUGGUGUUUUUACAUGAGUAGAAUAUGUGCUUUUAUUUAAAAUGCAUCUCUGGGUUAUUUGUGGGGCAUAAGAAUUUGUUCAUUCCCCCCCCCCCCAAAAAAAAUAUUCCGGCCCACCACAUGGUCUGAGGGACAGUGGACCGGCCCACGACUGAAAAAGGUUGCUGACCCCUGGAUUAGAGUAUGGUGACUGUAUAUUAUAAUGAGAUAUUCUGACAGGGUCUACCCUGCAGUUAUUAAAGUAGUGAAUGUAUAGACCAAGAAAAUUUGAUCUGAACCACAACAUUCAAGCUCUCAGACAGCUACCAUUCAACACAAUUCAUGUCCUUGUUUAAUACUGUAGCUGUCCAUGGAGUAUGUAGAAAUGACAAAACUUACUGGAAAAACAAGAAAUCAAGACAACAAACUUUUUAGAAAGGAAUGGAAAUGGUUUAUGGAGCAUUUAGAAACAAACUGUAAACAGAUCAAGACAUUGGCAGGAUUAUUGUAAAAGCCUGCAAUAUAUAUAUAUAUAUAUAUAUGGAAAGGACGAAAAUAAAUGUACGGAACCGCAGAAAGAGGGGGAAGGGAGUCAAAGUUGAAAAUGUUAAAAUUAUGGUUAAAUAAUUGUUGUAAUGUAGAUAAAUGAAAUAAUAAUAAUAAUAAUAAUAAUAAUGAUGAUGAUGAUGAUGAUGAUGUAACUGCCAUCUCCAGUGUAUAACUAUAAAAAUAUGUAAUGGUUUUAACAAAAGCAAUGGACUUUGUGUGGAUUGAAAAUAAUACGUAGGAAACUGGUAUAGCUUGCAGGCUAAGAGUGGUUUAAGAAGUUCCAGGUUUCUGUACAAACUUAUUCAGAAGAAGGAAACCCUUGAGUUCAGUGGGGCUUUGUCCCAUGUGGGUAAUUAUGGGAUUGCAACCUUUUUAGUCAAACCAUUACCUCUCGGAUUCUCCCUCUAUCUAUAAUAUAGCCGAUCUUACAAGGCAUUCGUUUGUUAAUGUUUGUGAAGUGGCUGGAACAUCUGAAGCACACUACUGUAUCUAAAAUCUGGAAAUAAAUUCAGUCCAUUCUGAAACAGCAAAGUUGUCACCAUUUAUUGAAUUCUGUAUCUUCAGUGCUGUCAGAGAAAUGUAAUGCUUUCCAGUUGCAUCUAUAGUAACAAUUGAGACAGCAAAAAUUCUCAUGCUGGUCAUAUAUAAUUGAGGGUGCUUGGUGACACAUAAAGUUCAAUCCUGAUGUGGCACUCCCAGCCACCCUUAAAAAAAAUCUGUCUGCUUUGGAGCAGGGCAAACAAAAUGGACACCCAUAAUACAAAAUGGACACCCAUAGUCUAGUCAAGCAGCAGCAAAAAUCCAAUAGCUCUGUUUUUACUUUUAAAAUAUAAUGUAAUCAUUUAUAUUAAUUUAAGUAACUAUGUAAGUAUAGUUCUAUAGAACGUAUGCUGACUUGUGGAUCAGUGGUUAUGGAAGUGAUAGCAGUGAUAGCAGUGAUCCACUUCACCCUUUCAGUACUCAACCCUUUCGCAUAGCUUCACACAUUGCAUUUGGGUUACACAUAGGCAUCUGGUUGGCUACCAUGAGAACAGGAUGCUGGACUAGAUAGGCCAACAGGAUCUUGUUACAUCCUUAUUGAGAUGACCUGCUGUGCUUGCUCAUGGCUCAAAUCCUUCUUCAGAAAAAAAUGGAGGUGCGUAACAUCAGUCCCUGUGUUUGGCUGGCAGUAUGAAGCCUUUGCAUUGGCCAACAUACUGAAAUCUUUGCCUUCUGUCCAGGGCCAACCCAUGACAUUUUGCUGCCUGAGACAAAGUACAAGAUGGCGUUCUCCCCUCCCACAGCUCUACCAAUGUACAGAAACUGACUGGACUGGCAGCUGAAUUUGGUGAUGGGAUAGUGCCCAUCCAUGCACCUGAGAGCAGCAGUCUGGUGUAGGAGGUAAACAACAAGCACUGAAAUAAUCUUUCUUUCAAUGUAGUGGAACAGCCAGGCACCUAUACAGCUCUUGCUGUACAGCAAAGUUAGCCAUGGUGGUAUCCUCCAGAUGCUGCUGGACUCCAACUCCCAUCAGUCCCAGCCAGCAUGUCCAAUGAUCAUUGAUAAUGGUUGUAGUCCAGCAAAAUAUGGAGGGCAUCAUGUUGGCUUUUCCUGCCCUAGAGCUUCUGCUGUAUGUCUAAUGGUAAGGCUGCUCCUGCUUUUCUCUUUGCUUUGUUAAUUAAAUAGUACACCCCCACCUUAAGCCAUUUGACUUGGGAGAUCCUGUGCUAAAGAACAUCCCCUCUGUUAAAGUCAUAUGUUUAAUAUGCAUAGAAUAUUAUGCUUGUACGCAUUGAAGUUAAAAUGCUAUGCAGAGAGGUUUGCAUUAGGCAAGCGAGGUUUGUCUUUAGUAAAUGUGGCAAUAAAAGGCUUGAUGUUUCUGUUUCAGUCUUUAGGCUAAUCAAUGAUUGCAGGGGAAACCCAAGGGAUCUCUCACAGCAGGAAGGUGAAACUUGAGAACUUAGCGUUUUAGUUAGUCCUUACAGCCAGCGGCAGUAGAAGCUCAGCUCAGUGAUCCUGAGCAAUCAAGAUGCUUGGAUAGGAUCUCUCUCUCUCUUAGACUAGAGAGAGGAGAGUUUUUGGACUGUAAUAAGGACUAAAAAGAAGACUGGGCCACAUUGCUAGUUUGUUAAAUUGCAAUGUAUUACUUUGUAUUUUUGCAAUGUUUUAUUUUGUAACUAGCCUAAGACAGUUUUGCAGUAAAACUUUUGAAACUCGUUCAUUUCUACACUGCAUAAGGUACAGAGCAGUCAUUCCACUUGUAACAACUUUUAACGCCCUUUAAAAUAGAUUCAGUUAUGGUUGCCCUCAAUCCCGGCAUUACCUGGAGUGCAAGAUUGCAGUUUUGAGGUGGAUGGAUGGGGAAAACACACUCUGGGUUUUUAUGGAGCAAACGUCACUCCCCCCAUUUUCAUUAUACGGCACAAAUAUUUAAUAAGGUAUUUGCUCUGAUUAAACUUAUAAGGCAGAGCACAGCACAUUGGUUUCUGAUUCCCUUUCCUAAUUGUUAUUCAAGAGUGUAUGGACAUAUGUCUUGGCUGACCCUUCUUGAUUCUGCCUGUAGGCAUCCCAGAUCGCUGUGUUUCUACAUUCUCCAGGGUCAUUUCUUUCACUUCUUUGGAACAUCAUUUCUGGAGCAGAUUGGGGAAUAGAGAUCUAUUAAGUUUCUAGCAGUUCUUUCACCUGGUUGGAACAGCCUGCUUGGCUACACACUAAAGGAUAAAAAGCCUGAUGGCCAUAAGGUCAAACUUUCAGAGAGAAUAAAGCAGGCUUGUGGUAUAAGCUGAAUAUUAAUGUCUAGACUGCUGCCUAUAUUGCAAGCAGAAUGCUACAGAUACUUAACUAACAGGGGCUGCUUGAAGUCCCACUGCUGAAAUUACCCUUGAAAAAUGGCAAGGAAUAUCAGAGUUAAAGGAUUCAUUUGCAUUCCUUGCCCUACUGUUUUGUUCUUAACAUCAUUGCUUUUUUGUUUUAUACUUAAUAUUGAAUUAUUAUUGCUGUUUAUUUUUAUAUCGUCUUUUUUGCUCCAAGGAGCCCCAAGUAUACCUCCAAACAGGUUUUUAAAAAACCUUGCUGAGAAUUUCCCUUCCACAACCAUACCAUCAUCUGAAAUGGUACUUCUGAGCACAAGCUCUGUGCAGAAGGACCUUCCUUUUCUCUAACUGUGUGACUUUUAAAUGGACCAAAACACAGUUUUCUAGGAAACACCUUUAUGCUACAGAUAAUCACCAUAACACAACAUUUUUCAGAGAGGUAGCUGUGUUAAUCUGAUGCACCAAAAACAAAGAAGAAUCUUGUGGUACCAAUGUAGACUAACCAAUUUUAUUACAACAUAAGGUUUUGUGGACUAGAGCUCACUUCAUUGUAUGCCUUUUAUUUCAGAACCACCACAGUUCCACAGAUGUUGGUGAAAGAUGUCAUCAAUCCCCAGAGCCCUUGUUUUUCUAAAAAAAAAAGAUAAUAGUAAUCUCUCAUCCUCUGUAACACAAGAGGUUUAAGGGAAGUGUGAGGACCAUAGCAGGAGGCUGCUGUCUCAUAUUUCUUACCUGUUGCAAUACAUUUGUUUUUUUCACCAGAUUGUGUACCAGCAGACAUGAAAAUCGAUAAGGCUACCAUCUGGUGUGCAAGGCAAUGUAAAACAUGCUUACCUGACGAACUUUGACCACCUGCACCCACUAGAAAAUAUUUCUAUUCAUUAGUGUUUAAUAUUUUUCGGUUCUUCACAAAUAUAGAUCAGCGACACUGAUGUUUGCAAAUCUACAGCAGUCUUUUUAAAGUUUCAGUUCACUUAUAGAGCAUUUUGUUCUGGUGCUUGCAGAAGUGGGGAACAUACUAAUGGGUUGUUGUGUGUGAAUGAAGAAAACAUGGUACAAAAUUGACCUGAAAUUCGAGAAAGAACAAACAGGAUAUUUUUGGUUUGGUCUUUUUAUUUAUACACAUAGUAUAAUCUGAGUGAGAUUUGAAAACGUGUAUGCUAGAGUAAGUAUAUAUUUUUUCCUUUGGCAGAUUCAUAAUGCUACUUUAGUAUCCCGCAGAGGGAUUUGACUAGCUUGAUUAGUUUUUAAUUUUUUAAAGCUGAGUAAGAGAUUGGAAUACUUCAGAGAUGCCAUGUGGCUUUGUAAAAAUCCUACUAAAAUUUGAAAUGCAUGAACCGAGACAGCAGAACAUCACACCCUGUUAGUGUAAUAUUUCUGUUGUAAAGAAUAUAAUUUUGAUUUAAUUGUAACUCGUGGAACUCCUGGAGCAUUGUGAAGGGGGCAGUCAUUUGUGAGUUGAAUUGCAAGUCUGCAUUGCAGACAAUAGUGCAAAAAAAAAAACAACAACCCAAAAUCAGGUCUAGGAGUAUAUAGCAGACAUUCUCUGUGGUGCUAUUAAGAGUAUAUGUGCAAUUAGCAAUGCACCUAUGAAAAGAGAUGCAUAGCUAGGGGCUAGGGAGGCCAAUCAAUGCCAGUUGAUUGGUGCCUCACCUACUCCUCUUUAAUGUCACUUUCGAACCUACUCUUCCUUGAUAGGGAAGGGGUGGAGGCAGUCCAGUGUAUGCCUUAACAUCUUUGACUCAGGACAAGUGAACUACAUUGGAGGUCUGUUUUCCCCUGUAGUACAAUGGAGGUCAGGAAGGAGUCAGGUCAUGACCCAGUUUAAAGAGCAUCUGUGGCUGAGUGGACAGAGACAAGAGUGCUCCAAUGUGAACUUGAGACUGUUUAGACAAGAGUCAGCUAUGGUUGGAAUAGGAAAAUGAAAGAAGGACGCCUUAGUUCCAUCCCUAUAUUUCAGAGCCGUAACCUUUUGCUAGAGUGCCAGUUCUCUAAAACGGCGAGAAUACUAAUUUAGACAAGUAGCUAUAUACGCCUGUAAGAACAUAAAACUCAAGUGGCACCACAGAGGGAAGCAGGUUUAUUUGGUUUGAACUGGAAAUGGCAACAUCCUGCAAUACAAGAUGCUUGGCGUUGACUGUGAUUUGAAAGGGUAUGUUCCCCGAGGUGCACUAGACAGGGGAUAAGCACAAGUUCAGAUACAUUUGCUGGAGCGUUAUUAUUAACAAGAGCUUAUAAUUAAUUAAAUAAUAUUACACAAUUAAUGUGAUUUUUACUAAUUAAUCAAGCUAUAAAUUGAGCCAUGGGCCUACGCAGCUAAGAAGAGGGGGAUCUAACAAUGUAACUGAUUAAUUAUAAUUGAUUAAUCAACCACAGUUGUACAGUGGUACCUCAGGUUACAGACGCUUCAGGUUGCAGACUCUGCUAACCCAGAAAUAGUACCUUGGGUUAAGAACUUUGCUUCAGGAUGAGAACAGAAAUCGGGUGGUGGCGGCGUGGCAGCAGUGGGAGGCCCCAUUAGCUAAAGUGGUACCUCAGGUUAAGAACAGUUUCAGCUUAAGAACGGACCUCCAGAACGAAUUAAGUUCUUAACCUGAGGUACCACUGUGGUUGAUUAAUCUGCCAGUCAAAAGCUGUAACCCUUAUGUUUGCAAUUACUGAAGCACUAGGUAAAAUACAAAAAAUGGCAAGCACUUACAAGCAAUGACAGGAAGGGCAGACAGACAUCUUUUAUGCCAACAGUUGAAUGAAGAAGACUCCUUUUGUGCAUUUAUGAUUCUAGGAUGGUUUGUGCUUGUAGGUUUCACAGAAGUGGGGAAAUGGUUCCUAUGGUUAUGCAAGUCUUAGGACAAUAAGAAGAGCAGUGGCAUUUAAGACUCAGAGAAGACAGGGCACUGUAGCUAUAUGAGAUCAGAAAGUUAUACCAAAUCAGACCAUUGGUCCAUCCAGCCCAAUGCUCUUAUCAUUAACUGGCAGUGGCUGCCCAGGGUUCUGAUAGAAGUCUUUCCCAACCUUACUUGGAUAAAUUGGGGAUUGGUUUGUGGCCCAUAUAACAUUUCCUUAAUGCUCCACCUGACAGAAUACAGAUGGAGCAUCUUUGAGGAAACUGCAGAUGUUAAUUGCUAUUCAUGGGUGUAGUCAGGAUUCAUUUUAGGGGGGGCAAGCUUUAUGUUGGGGGGGCAGAACCAAUAUAUCUGUGAUACAAUUGGUCAGUUAGUUAAGUAUUUAUAUUUAUUUACUUGAUUUAGGGAGGGCAUGUGCCCCUCAGCUACGCCCAUGUUGCUAUUGGCUUAAAAGUCCCAUAUUAUUUAGAGUAGGUAAAUGUCAGAAGGAAUCAUAGGAAAAUGUGUUUCAUACGGGUUGAAAUUAAAGGGAUUGGGGGAGAAUAUGUAUGUAUGGUGUUUCUGUCCUGCCAUGUUGUAUUUUUAUUCUUACUUUUGUCAUUGGGUAUUACUGUUGUGUCCAACUUUCAAAGUGGAUUGAACAGGCUAACCUUUUCAGUUGCUUGUCCCCAGGCAAAACUUUGAGGCCUAUGAGAUGUGGAUGCUCAACAAAUAACUUCAUUUUGCAGGGCUAGAUGUAGCUAUCUGUGUGGUAGUUGUUUACAUUUAACCACCAGGAGGAAUACGCACAGAGACAUGGUUAAGCUUGGCAUUAUAAUAGCGACCAUGGUCACUACUAAUCAGUAAAACCCUUAUAGCCAGAAUUUCAAGCCAAUGUAUGAAGUGCGUAUACAAACCCUGGGAAGAUGGGAAUUUGAAUAGUAUUAACUAUGCUUAGCACCGAUGCACUUGUGAUGGGCGGGGGGACGGUCUUACAAGAGAAUUUUCAUUGAGGGAAAGAGGGAAGGGGAGGUAGCGAAUGAUUCUGAGUUUGACUUGGAACCAGCAUUAAAGUCUACACCGGACUAAUGUGCCUGCAAAUUUGGUGUUAAAAGUAUAGGCACCUAUGGAGAAUUUAGCUUUUAUUGGUAUGCUUUCAUCAUCAGGCUUCUUAGUAUGCCUGCAUCAUAAUUCUGCCACCUAUAACAGGUACCUUUCCUUUCAUUCAUCUCACACAGUGUUUCAGUCUGGUCCCUAAGGUACUGGGUUUGAGACAUGUUUUAUUAACAUUCUAGAGUUGUUCUCUCCUGACUAACCGACCAUUAGCUGGCUCACUGAUCCUUAACUGCAGAUCACUCUCUUAUUUAGGCUACAUUUCCCUUAGGUUCCAAAAUAAUUAGUCUCACGGCUAUGGAUGGGAUUUCCUGUCAAGUGAUGUGAAUAUAGAUGGAGUACCUCAUUCAAUGGCGG